rnacentral:rRNA from 1 species
UACGUAGGGCGCGAGCGUUGUCCGGAAUUAUUGGGCGUAAAGAGCUCGUAGGCGGCCUGUCGCGUCGGUUGUGAAAGCUCGGGGCUCAACCCCGGGUCUGCAGUCGAUACGGGCAGGCUAGAGUUCGGUAGGGGAGAUCGGAAUUCCUGGUGUAGCGGUGAAAUGCGCAGAUAUCAGGAGGAACACCGGUGGCGAAGGCGGAUCUCUGGGCCAUUACUGACGCUGAGGAGCGAAAGCGUGGGGAGCGAACAGG